CAGGAGAAGCUGGAAAGUAUGUUAGCACCCCGCCUCAGGUUCCAAAGUGCAGUGUGGGUCAGAGCAACCCUGCAUCAUGCUUUCCCUGGCUUUUUUUUUUCCAUGCUCUUCAUCAAAGAAGCCCGUAUUAAAAUGAAUUAUCAGGCCAGCACUAAUAAGAAGAUGCAACAUGAAAGUCAGCUCUCUGCCAAGAAGGACGACAAACUCUUCUUUAACGACGAGGACAAAGAAAUACUUUAUCAGAUUAAAAGCUUAGCGGCUCUGGAAAGAAUCAUUGAAAGUCUCCGGAAAUCUUUAGGGAGCUCACUCAUGAAAAGAAGAAAGAAGUAUAAACAUUUGUUCAGGGGAGGCAAAUAUCGCAAGCGGAGAGAGAGCCUCUACUGAAAAACCAGGACUGCCCGAGGGACUGCCCACUCCCCUCCACCGCUAGGAAGGAAGAAGGAGUAGAGUUACUAACCAUUCUGUAUAAAGAAGAACCGUUUAUUCAAGGAGUGCCAAAUAAAACGAACCUAUUUAAAUAUUAAGUUAGAGGCAAUGUGGUUUUUUUUUCCUUAAACAAAAAAAGAAAUGAAAAUCUAAUUGAGCCUGAAAUAUAGGAGCGUCCAAAGCUUCUAUUGCCUACCAGGAGGAGCUUUGGAAAAAAAACGUAACCUCAGAGACUGUGCCACCAUCAGUUUCCUCCAGAGGAGCAGAACCUGCAAGGUGGGAGUAUAAACGUAGAAAGAUCGUAAAAGAGUCAUGAAGCGUUGGAUCACGUGAUCGUGGAGGCUGACAAGUCCCGAGAGCUGCAUCCAGGAGAGACGACGGUGUGGUUUUAGUCUGAGACUGAAGCCUGACAGCCUGGAGACCCAGGAAGAGCCCAUGUGUCAGUUCAAGUCCAAAGGCAGGAAAAGGCUGGUAUCCUGGUUGGAAGGCCAUCUGGCGGGAGGAGUCCUCUCCUACUCUGGAGAGGAUCAGAUUUCUGUUCUAUCUGGGCCUUCUGCUGCUCAGACCAGGCCCUCCCACUUCAUCCAGAAACAACCUCAUAGAAACACCCAGGAUAAUGUUUGACCAAGUGUCUGGGCACCCCAAGGCCCAGUCAAGCUAACGCAUGAAAUUAACAUUCACAUCUGUCCAUGAAGACCAGAACCUAUGACGUCCUGACAACCAGCCCUUCCACGCCCCGCUCCUGCCCAGCAUCAUGCAAUCCAUGAAGACCAGAAUCUAUGAAGUCCUGACAACCAGCCCUUCCAUGCCCCGCUCCU